CAAUUAUGGGUGCUACUCCAACAAGGUACUCCCUCCAAUACCAAUAAACAAAUACUCAAAAAGAAAGGAAUGCACACCAACUGAUACAAUAGUAUCUAUCUAAAUAUAUUUAUUAUAAUACAAUGCAAUUAUUACAUACACAAAUUGUAACAAUCUGAUAGUGACCAAAUAGGCAAAAAAAGGCUAAACCAUAUAAUUACCAAAUCUCACAAGCCUAUAUGGGCAGAAACCCGAGUCACAAACAGUCCCCCAACGUUUCGGCUCCUCCUGGCAGCCUUUAUCAAGGGUAGCUAUAUCAUAGCAUCAUCCAGGAACCCAUUAUAUACACAUAUACAACUUACUAAUUACUUACAGCUGAUGGCCAUCAGUGAUGUCACAAAGAGCCAAGACCGGAAGUGACAUCAUCACUUCAGAUCAUAGCCCUGUAUAAAGAAUUAAAUAACAUACAUAGUUAUUGUACAUUCCCAAUGUUAUUCCCAAACUGACUGCCUCAUUGAUGCAAAAAAUGUCCCACUACUGUACAAUCCACAAACCUUCUCGCCAGUCUAAAUGAAACGCGCAUGCGCAAUACAAACAAAAACGAUCACCACAUCGUCCACUGGCACCACAAACAUACCAACAUUAAUAUACUCCACAUAACCCCAAGGAAAUACCAAGCACUAAAGCUCUACAUAAACAAUAACAAAACGCGCAUUUCACCUUAUUUUGCUCGGCCAAUCAUACCGGGGUUCCCUUCCUACGGAAGCCUCCGAGAUCCACAUCUAAUAGAAAGUCGCAUCAAAAGAGCGCCGCGCCGCUCGCGCAUGCGCAUCCCCCAAAUUAAAG